AACCGCCCAUGGUUUUGGGAGGUAAGCGGGGUGGUAGAGGAAAAAGAUGAAAACUGGAAACUGGAAACCCACAGUAUUUUUAGAAGAAACCUGUGGAGAGAAGAAGGGGGGAAAUGGCUGUGUUUUGUUGUUGGUUUGGGAAAUGGCCUCGCCGUUAGACACAUUGCUAUUCCACAUUCAAAAUGUGCGAAAGUACGGGAAAAGAUCUCUCAUUCCUUCGGCUUUACAUCAAAAGUUGAUGACCCACAAAGGAGACGAGAUCGACGAUCCAUAGCGCCGCAGUGGGGCUUCACUGUUCUUCAAUGGCCGAAACCAAAAGAACCCAAUUUCAAUUCAUCCCAAAGCUGUAAUUCCAACGACCCACCACUCGCCUUCUUCCACGUCCUUUUCCACCUUCUCUGUUUUGAAUAUCUUACGGUCCAUUUUGAUUUCGAAUCAAGCUGAGCUAGCCCUCCAAACACCUCUCAAAUUUCUUCGAUUUGGUGCAUUUUCUUAUCCUAAUCCGAUGCGUCGUUUCAUUUCUCUUCGUUACUUCUCUUGUAGCUCGCCACUCUCUUUUUGUUUUAACCCCAUUUGCCUUUCCUCCAUCCACGUUCCUGUCCGAAAAGCCCAAAACUUCUCUUUGGAAAUUGUAUUUAUUUGUGGGGUAUCAUGGAAAUCCGUGUCCGGAUUUCGAAUUCCUAAAACCGUUGGACGAGGGACGCGGUUUUGUGAUAAACUAAUCUUGAAUGCUUUUCUGCCGGCGAUUAAGCGAUGACCUGAAGAAAUUGCGGGAAAUAUUGAGGUAUUGAUUUGGGACUCUGCAGUCGGCGGCGAUGGGGGCCUUGCUCUCGUACUUGGCUGAAGUUGCCAAUGGCUCCACCAACGAUCCUGGCCUCGGAGACAUACCCGAGAGUUGCGUCGCCUGUGUUUUUCUUUACCUGACUCCGCCACAGAUUUGCAACCUUGCGCGGCUUAACAGAGCGUUUCGCGGCGCCGCCUCGUCGGAUUCCGUUUGGCAAUCAAAAUUGCCUUCAAAUUAUCAAGAUCUUCUCGAUUUGCUGCCCCCCCAACGGUAUCAAAAUCUGUCAAAAAAGGACAUAUACGCACUGCUAUCUCGGCCCGUGCCAUUCGAUGAUGGAAAUAAGGUGGAGGUGUGGCUGGACAGAAUCACGGGAAAGAUUUGCAUGUCAAUAUCAGCGAAGGCCAUGUCUAUAACUGGAAUUGAUGAUAGAAGAUACUGGAAUUGGAUUUCGACUGAAGAGUCUCGGUUCAAUGUUGUGGCAUAUCUGCAGCAAAUUUGGUGGUUUGAAGUAGAUGGGAUGGUGAAAUUCCCUUUUCCUGCUGAUAUCUAUACACUGACCUUCAGGCUUCACCUUGGAAGGUUCUACAAGCGGCUCGGCCGACGUGGAUGCAGCUUCGAGCAUACUCACGGUUGGGAUGUAAAGCCUGUACGGUUCGAAAUGUCUACUUCUGAUGGACAGCAAGCGGCACAUGAAUUCUGUUUAGACGAGAACAGAUUUAUUGAUGUAAGUGAACACCACAAGCGUGGGUGUUGGAUUGAAUACAAGGUAGGUGAAUUCUUUGUCAACGAGUCGGGAUCGACCACGGAAAUUAGAUUUUCCAUGAAACAGAUUGACUGCACGCAUUCUAAAGGUGGGGUUUGUGUAGAUUCUGUAUUUAUCGUUCCCAGUAACUUGAAAGAGCGUAAAACAUGAGGAAUUCCAAAAAGUAGUCAGCCAAAGAUGUUUCUGCAAUCCUCCAUAGUUGACCUCAAAGGAUUAUAACAUGGAAAUUUACAGGUUGAUACCAUUUCUAGGCUUUUGGCAUUUCGUUCGUCGUCUUGGUUUUCCUCGAUGGGAUAUCUGGUGAAAUGGUAUACGUUUGCAACCGCAGAUUCAAUAGAGUAUUGUAAUGGAUUACAGGACAAACCCACACAACCACAUUGGUUUUGAUGAGAGGCUUGAAAGCAAAAGAAGAAACAGGUUCUUCUCUUUGACAUCCUCAAAAGUAGUAUUAAUGAUGCACUUGUCUGGCUAUGAUGUGGGGAAGAAGUAUAGUUAUGUUUUGAUUUCGUUUUCGUUUUCGUUGAACGAAUUAUGCAGUUAUUGCUAUGCCCCCAAUGAAUGAGGUCAAUUCGUUUAAAGUUCGGUUCAUUUACGAUUGUGUUGGCUCAAAUCCAGUCCUGUUUUGUCAAACUCAAAAAGUGGAUCUUCGAGUGUAGUAAAAUAUCAUUCAAGCAUAGUUCAACAGAUAAAAUACUAAUUAUUUGGAUGUUUUGA